rnacentral:rRNA from 1 species
GCAAGUCGAACGGUAGAGGGGGCAACCCCUUGAGAGUGGCGAACGGGUGAGUAAUAUAUCGGAACGUGCCCAGUCGUGGGGGAUAACGUAGUGAAAAUUACGCUAAUACCGCAUACGAUCUAAGGAUGAAAGCGGGGGACCGUAAGGCCUCGCGCGAUUGGAGCGGCCGAUAUCAGAUUAGGUAGUUGGUAGGGUAAAGGCCUACCAAGCCAACGAUCUGUAGCUGGUCUGAGAGGACGACCAGCCACACUGGAACUGAGACACGGUCCAGACUCCUACGGGAGGCAGCAGUGGGGAAUUUUGGACAAUGGGCGAAAGCCUGAUCCAGCCAUUCCGCGUGCAGGAUGAAGGCCCUCGGGUUGUAAACUGCUUUUGUACAGAACGAAAAGGUUUCUAUUAAUACUAGGAGCUCAUGACGGUACUGUAAGAAUAAGCACCGGCUAACUACGUGCCAGCAGCCGCGGUAAUACGUAGGGUGCAAGCGUUAAUCGGAAUUACUGGGCGUAAAGCGUGCGCAGGCGGUUAUAUAAGUCAGAUGUGAAAUCCCCGGGCUCAACCUGGGAACUGCAUUUGAGACUGUAUAGCUAGAGUACGGUAGAGGGGGAUGGAAUUCCGCGUGUAGCAGUGAAAUGCGUAGAUAUGCGGAGGAACACCGAUGGCGAAGGCAAUCCCCUGGACCUGUACUGACGCUCAUGCACGAAAGCGUGGGGAGCAAACAGGAUUAGAUACCCUGGUAGUCCACGCCCUAAACGAUGUCAACUGGUUGUUGGGUCUUAACUGACUCAGUAACGAAGCUAACGCGUGAAGUUGACCGC